rnacentral:rRNA from 1 species
CCUACGGGUGGCUGCAGUGGGGAAUAUUGCACAAUGGGCGCAAGCCUGAUGCAGCCAUGCCGCGUGUGUGAAGAAGGCCUUCGGGUUGUAAAGCACUUUCAGCGGGGAGGAAGGCGGUGAGGUUAAUAACCUCAUCGAUUGACGUUACCCGCAGAAGAAGCACCGGCUAACUCCGUGCCAGCAGCCGCGGUAAUACGGAGGGUGCAAGCGUUAAUCGGAAUUACUGGGCGUAAAGCGCAGGCAGGCGGUCUGUCAAGUCGGAUGUGAAAUCCCCGGGCUCAACCUGGGAACUGCAUUCGAAACUGGCAGGCUAGAGUCUUGUAGAGGGGGGUAGAAUUCCAGGUGUAGCGGUGACAUGCGUAGAGAUCUGGAGGAAUACCGGUGGCGAAGGCGGCCCCCUGGACAAAGACUGACGCUCAGGUGCGAAAGCGUGGGGAGCAAACAGGAUUAGAUACCCUAGUAGUC